rnacentral:tRNA from 3 species
UGAGGAUUAGCUUAAUUUGGACAAGAGCACUAGAUUUUUAAUCUAGAGACACAGGUUCGAAUCCUGUAUUCUCAA